UACGUAGGGUGCGAGCGUUGUCCGGAAUUAUUGGGCGUAAAGGGCUCGUAGGCGGUUUGUCGCGUCGGGAGUGAAAACCUCGGGCUUAACUCGGGGCUUGCUUUCGAUACGGGCAGACUGGAGUUCGGCAGGGGAGACUGGAAUUCCUGGUGUAGCGGUGAAAUGCGCAGAUAUCAGGAGGAACACCGGUGGCGAAGGCGGGUCUCUGGGCCGAUACUGACGCUGAGGAGCGAAAGCGUGGGGAGCGAACAGG
rnacentral:rRNA from 1 species